rnacentral:rRNA from 1 species
GACGAAUGCUGGCGGCGUGCUUAACACAUGCAAGUCGAACGGUAAUGCCCUUCGGGGUACACGAGUGGCGAACGGGUGAGUAACACGUGGGUGAUCUGCCCUGCACUUCGGGAUACGCCUGGGAAACUGGGUCUAAUACCAGAUAGGACCACUGCCUGCAUGGGUGGUGGUGGAAAGCUUUUGCGGUGUGGGAUGGGCCCGCGGCCUAUCAGCUUGUGGGUGGGGUGAUGGCCUACCACGGUGACGACGGGUAGCCGGCCCGAGAGGAUGACCGGCCACACUGGGACGGAGAUACGGGCCAGACUCCUACGGGAGGCAGCAGUGGGGAAUAUUGCACAAUGGGCGGAAGCCUGAUGCAGAGACGCCGCGUGAGGGAUGACGGCCUUCGGGAUGUAAACCUCUUUCAGCACCGACGAAGCGCAAGUGACGGUAGGUGCAGAAGAAGGACCGGCCAACUACGUGCCAGCCGCCGCAGUAAUAC